rnacentral:rRNA from 1 species
CCUACGGGAGGCAGCAGUGAGGAAUAUUGGUCAAUGGGCGCGAGCCUGAACCAGCCAAGUCGCGUGAGGGAGGACGGCCCUACGGGUUGUAAACCUCUUUUGCCGGGGAGCAACGUGCGUCACGUGUGGCGCCACUGAGUGUCCCCGGAGAAAAAGCAUCGGCUAACUCCGUGCCAGCAGCCGCGGUAAUACGGAGGAUGCGAGCGUUAGCCGGAUUUAUUGGGUUUAAGGGGUGCGUAGGCGGAGCGUUAAGUCAGUGGUCAAAUUGAGGGGCUCAACCCCUUCCCGCCAUUGAAACUGGCGUUCUUGAGUGGAAGAGAGGUAUGCGGAAUGCGUGGUGUAGCGGUGAAAUGCAUAGAUAGCACGCAGAACCCCGAUUGCGAAGGCAGCAUGCCGGCUUCCGACUGACGCUGAAGCACGAAAGCGUGGGGAUCGAACAGGAUUAGAUACCCCGGUAGUC